CAAGGUAUAGUUUAUAAGAAUAUCAGCUUUGGGUGCUGAAGGUGGGGUGUUUGCUUCUUCCUUGA
rnacentral:tRNA from 1 species